rnacentral:lncRNA from 1 species
UAUUUGAAAAAAUAAGGCUUAGAAAAAAAUUUGUCUUUCUAAACUAGGCCUAAGUACCCGACAAGUUUUAGAAAAACAUCAAAAAAAAAACAUUAAAAAGACCACCACCAAUACCAACACUUCACCACCACUGCCACUCUCUAUCACCACCGCCUUCCUCCCUUUUACUCCUCUAUUGACCUUCUCUCUGCCUCCUCCUUCUUCCCUUUCUCCUCCUCUCCCUUUCUCCUCCCUCCUUCUUCCCUUCUUCCUGUGACCUCCA